rnacentral:rRNA from 1 species
UACGUAGGGUGCAAGCGUUGUCCGGAAUUAUUGGGCGUAAAGAGCUUGUAGGCGGUUUGUCGCGUCUGCUGUGAAAUUUCGGGGCUCAACCCCGAACUUGCAGUGGGUACGGGCAGACUAGAGUGUGGUAGGGGAGACUGGAAUUCCUGGUGUAGCGGUGAAAUGCGCAGAUAUCGGGAGGAACACCCGUAGCGAAGGCGGCACUCUGGGCCGGUACUGACGCUGAGGAGCGAAAGCGUGGGGAGCAAACAGG